GCGCCAAGGGCAAUGAUUGGAGAGGCUGUGGCGUCCCUCCUGACGAGAAGCACAAGGGUGGGGACGGCUCACAAAGCUCGACGCCCAGGCCCUCGAGUACGGGGAGCGGACGAGGAGGGGGUGUUGGUGUCCCAAGCCGAGUUGAAACUGGAAGUUGACUUCUUCACCGUGGAUAUAAGAACUAGGUACCUGAGGAGACAGGACUUGAAGAACACUCACUAAGUGCAGAUGGCCAGGUGGCAGUGACUAUCAUGCAUGGUCAGGCUGCUGGAGGAGACGAGUGAGAAGAUGCUUGAGCCACUUUGGCUCUUGGCACUUGGAAUUCAAGAUGGAUCAGGUACCUGUCCUGUGGAGCCUAUGUUCUGGCAGAGAAGACAUAUCAUAAUCUAAUUUAAAAAUUAGGAAACAAGAUAACUUCAGAGAAUGACAAGUUCUGGGGAGAAAAUAAAACAGUGGCGAUAUGAUUGCAAUCAGGGACUGGCUCCAGGAGACUUGAGUCUAGCUCUUUCUGAUUCAUCACCCACACUCCAGGAAGCUAGCUGUCAGUCAGCCAAAGAAUUGAGCAUCUUGCCCUGGGAGAGCUGGGUUCUCCUCCCUGUGGCUCCCAGGAGGUACUGCAAGGUGCCCUCCCUACACAGUUGAAAUCCAAUAUGAGGACAGACACACCGUGGAGAUAUUGCAGAUUGAGUUCCAGACCACCACAA